GAUAAGCCAAAGAUCGAGAAAAGUAGUAAAGAUGACACAUGGCUAGAGAGGAAAUGUCUUAGGCUGAAAGCAUUUCUACAUGAUGACUUUAUGAAAGAACACUCAGGAGGCUUCACUCUGAAAAGGGAAACUUAGUAGGAGAUGAACGUGUUCGUGCGUUAACGAAAUGAGUGGAAACAUGUCAUAUGUUUCAAUUAGGGUGGUACCACGUGAGAUUAACUCUCGUCCCUACU
rnacentral:ncRNA from 2 species